AAGUGAAAUGAUGGUAUACCAUCUUUCGGGACUGACUUAAAAUGGAGAUGAUAUGUAAUUGCUGAUCACUU
rnacentral:snoRNA from 1 species